GAGUAACGCGUGAGAAACCUGCCUGGAAGUGGGGGAUAACACUCCUAACGGAGUGCUAAUACCGCAUGUGGUGCGAUGUCCGCAUGAGCGACGCACCAAAGGUGGCCUCUGUUUACAAGCUAUCGCUUCCAGAUGGUCUCGCGUCCGAUUAGCUAGUUGGCGGGGUAAUGGCCCACCAAGGCGACGAUCGGUAGCUGGUCUGAGAGGAUGGUCAGCCACACUGGGACUGAGAUACGGCCUAGACUCCUACGGGAGGCAGCAGUCGAGAGGCUUCGGCAAUGGGGGAAACCCUGACCGAGCGACGCCGCGUGGGGGAUGAAGGCCUUUGGGUCGUAAACCCCUUUCGACCGGGAAGAAAGCCACGGAACUAAUAACUCCGUGGCGUGACGGUACCGGUGGAAGAAGCUCCGGCUAACUCCGUGCCAGCAGCCGCGGUAAUACGGGGGGAGCGAACGUUGUUCGGAAUCACUGGGCGUAAAGGGCGUGUAGGCGGUUCGGUAAGUGAGGUGUGAAAGCCCCCGGCUCACCCGGGGAACUGCAUCUCAUACUGCUGGACUUGAGUGCGGGAGAGGAUGGGGGAAUUCCUGGUGUAGCGGUGAAAUGCGUAGAUAUCAGGAGGAACACCGGUGGCGAAGGCGCCCAUCUGGCCCGUUACUGACGCUGAGGCGCGAAAGCUAGGGGAGCAAACGGGAUUGGAUACCCCGGUAGUCCUAGCCGUAAACGGUGGGCACUAGGUGUUGGAGGCAUUGACCCCUCCAGUGCCGCAGCUAACGCAUUAAGUGCCCCGCCUGGGGAGUACGACCGCAAGGUUGAAACUCAAAGGAAUUGACGGGGGCUCACACAAGCGGUGGA
rnacentral:rRNA from 1 species